rnacentral:rRNA from 1 species
AUUGAACGCUGGCGGCAUGCCUUACACAUGCAAGUCGAACGGCAGCACGGGUGCUUGCUCCUGGUGGCGAGUGGCGAACGGGUGAGUAAUACAUCGGAACAUGUCCUUUAGUGGGGGAUAGCCCGGCGAAAGCCGGAUUAAUACCGCAUACGAUCUACGGCUGAGAGCGGGGGACCUUCGGGCCUCGCGCUAUCGGGUUGGCCGAUGGCGGAUUAGCUAGUUGGUGGGGUAAAGGCCUACCAAGGCGACGAUCAGUAGCUGGUCUGAGAGGACGACCAGCCACACUGGGACUGAGACACGGCCCAGACUCCUACGGGAGGCAGCAGUGGGGAAUUUUGGACAAUGGGCGAAAGCCUGAUCCAGCAAUGCCGCGUGUGUGAAGAAGGCCUUCGGGUUGUAAAGCACUUUUGUCCGGAAAGAAAUCCUUGGCCCUAAUACGGUCGGGGGAUGACGGUACCGGAAGAAUAAGCACCGGCUAACUACGUG